UUCCAGACUCCUACGGGAGGCAGCAGUGGGGAAUAUUGGGCAAUGGGCGCAAGCCUGACCCAGCAACGCCGCGUGAAGGAAGAAGGCUUUCGGGUUGUAAACUUCUUUUCUCAGGGACGAAGAAAGUGACGGUACCUGAGGAAUAAGCCACGGCUAACUACGUGCCAGCAGCCGCGGUAAUACGUAGGUGGCAAGCGUUAUCCGGAUUUAUUGGGUGUAAAGGGCGUGUAGGCGGGAGCGCAAGUCAGAUGUGAAAACUCAGGGCUCAACCCUGAGCCUGCAUUUGAAACUGUGUUUCUUGAGUGCUGGAGAGGCAAUCGGAAUUCCGUGUGUAGCGGUGAAAUGCGUAGAUAUACGGAGGAACACCAGUGGCGAAGGCGACUUUCUGGACUGUACCUGACGCUGAGGCGCGAAAGCGUGGGUAGCGAACGGGAUUAGAUACCCGCGUACA
rnacentral:rRNA from 1 species